AAAUGAGUAAUAGUUUUGUGACGCGUGGGAUCCUCGACCGCUUUCUUCAUUCUUCGCCCCUCCGUCCUCACCCCAUCUGGCAAACCUUCAUCCCUCUUCAUCUCUUCUAUCGUUCACCGCUUCACCACAGAAAAACUUAAACCACAUCCCUGUCAAGUUUCAAUCACCGCUGCCACCAGUUCACCCAGACCUCAUCUCUCAGCUUUGUGAUAUGUAGACUGCUACAGAAGCUUGAUUUGUUCAAGUCGGCAAUAACUGCAGAGAGCCUGCACCAUCCCCUACAGAUUCCCCUCCAACAAUCCCCGCAAGCCCACUCCCACUGAGCUCUCCUGGAUCGACCUCUUCUACAACUCCACCCCCUCCUUCAAGAAACGAGCUGAGUCCGACGCUUCGGUUCCCGACGCUCCGGCCAGAGCUAAGAAAUUUGCUCAAAGAUACACACUUUACUGAUUGUUUUGCGAUUAGUGAAUUGGGUUUUCAUAAAUGCCUGCAAUUUUUUGUGUUUUUGCCUGAAGGGUACACUGAGAUACUGGAGGACUUGAAAAAGGAUCCUGAGAGUCACGGAGGCCCGCCGGAUUGCAUUCUUUUUUGCAGACUUCGGGAGCAAGUUCUUAGGGAGUUGGGAUUCCAAUAUAUAUUCAAGAAAGUCAAGGAUGAAGAUAAUGCCAAGGCAAUAUCCCUGUUUGAGAAUGUAUUGGAUCUUAAUGAUGCUAUUGAAGAUGAAGUCAAGUGGGUAGAGCAUCUGAUUAUAGGAAUAUUUGCCGAAAAUAUAAUUUGUAUCAAACUCGCCAUUUCAUAAGACUCAACCUCAGAGCUCUAUGAAAAAGAACAAAACUGGUUCUAAAAUCCUACGUUCCUUAUUUUUGGUUUUUGGGAUGGUUGUGCUUUUGUGUAAAGCUGGAUCUAUAGUGUGUUGGUCUCUGUUAUCAUCGGCGAUCCCACAAUUGGGACUGUUGUCAUACAAGUUGAAUUGAACUCAGGCUAGAAUGUCGUCGUUUUCUGAAGCCCUCUGUACUCAAGCUAAGUUCCAUUGCGUACUCGGAUGAGUUGGUUUGUUCUAAGUUUCGGAUAAAGAAUUAUUCCCAUCUGGGUAUAUAUACAUUCAACUCCAAACAUUAUAUAACUGAAGUUGAGUCUGCAACCUACCAAUGAGGUCAAGCACUGUAGUACUGGGUCUUGUGGCAAUGCUUCUGGUAGCAUGGCCUGCAGCACGAGUAGUCCAUGGCGAUCAAGGUCAAGAUGCCGCAGGCCUGACAUGUGCCGUGCUCUGCUUUGAACGCUGGUACUCAUGCGUCACUGCUUGUUUGGGACACGGUGGCAGCGGGGCGGAUGUUAAUGACUGCAACGGUACGAACACUAAGUGCGACGAGCAAUGCCAUCGAUCACCUCUUCUACCACCACCUCCACCACGAUCGAUGCAGCCACAGCCACCUAAAUUACCAUAAGCUAGCCUGGAUUUGAUCAACUUCACACACACACACAUAUAUAUAUAUAUAUAUGCGAGUGUGGAGCCUAGUGGUCUCAAUUAUGUCUACACCAAUAAAAGAAAAGGAUUUUUACUUUAUAUAAUUAAGCUUUGAUCAAAUAAACAACUUAAUUGCAACAUAUUCUGUGUAUUUAUUUGUUUAUGACUAUUGUUAUUUGGAACACAUUUGCACCAGGAAAAAAAUUUCCUUUAAUUUAAUACCAUGUUACAUUACAGGACCAACUCACAGAAAGGGAACUUACAGAACUCGAUCAUUAUCUUUGCCUGUCAUAUAUAUUAUAUUAAAAAUAACUGACCCUUGGUCCCGAAGCUUUUGGCUCACCAUCAAUCAGUAUUAUCUGCAUGACCUUUUCUUUCUCCUUUUGUGAAACCAUUUUCUUUAUAUAUAAUCUCCCGGUAACAAAUGCGCCACAAUCACAUUAUGUUGAAAAGAACCUAUACUCACAAGUCACAACAAGGUACACAUACACCCCUUUUAAAGUUUACGGCUAUAAGUAAUAGUUUUGGCAAUGAGGUCCAGUGUGCUUCCUGUACUUGUAACACUGCUCUUGCUAACAUGGCCUGCAACACAAGUCGUCCACGGCCAAGAUUCAUGUUCCGCUGCCUGCUACAACGGAGUGAUGUCAUGCGUGGUUGGGUGUACCAACAAUGGGAGCCAACUACCAGAUCCUUCAUGUCCGGAUGAAUGCACCGAAGAUUACGACAGCUGCAUGGAAAUCUGCAUGCCCGACCCUGAGAAAUUAUCAGCCCCUAUACGGCCAUGAUUACUGCAGCCAGCAGACAGAGCUUUGCUAAAUUAUAUUAUAUAUAUAUAGAGAGAGAGAGAGAGACACACACACACAUAUACACGUCAAAUAAAACGAAGCUUGAAUGUUAACAGCUUUUGAUGAAUGAAGAAAACUUACUGCUAACCGCAGUCAAA